GCUUUUUGAUUUAUUUAAAAAGCAGGCCCUGCCCGGUGAAAUUUUAACGGCCGCUUUAAUGCGCUAAGGUAGCAUAAUAAUUUGUCUUUUAAAUGAAGACUGGAAUGAAGGGUUUGACGGAAAUUCACUGUCUCAAAUAUUUUAUAUUUAAUUUAACUUUUAAGUAAAAAGGCUUAAAUUAUUUAGAGGGACGAAAAGACCCUAUAGAGUUUUAUUAAAUUUAUUAUUAUUAUUCUUUAAUUUUGUUAAAUUUAAUUUAAUUGGGGAGAUUAUUUAAAUAAAACUAUUAUAGAUUAUUAUGAUUUUGAAUUUAUUUAGAUCCAUAAUUUAUGAAUAUUAGAUAAAUUACCUUAGGUAUAACAGCAUAAUAUUUUUGGAGAGAUCUUAUUGAUAAAAAUGUAUUAUGACCCUCGAUGUUGGCACUAGGAGCCGCGUAAUUUAAUAAAGCACCUAAUCGGAGGUAGCC
rnacentral:rRNA from 1 species